UUUCCGUAGGUGAGCCUGCGGAAGGAUCAUUCAUAAUAAGUGUUUUAUGGCACUUUUUUAAAUCCAUAUCCACCUUGUGUGCAAUGUCAGGGUUGAUUUUUCUCUCGAGAGGAUCAACCCCAAACAUCAACUAUAUCUCAACUCUUUGUCUGAAAAAUAUUAUGAAUAAAACAAUUCAAAAUACAACUUUCAACAACGGAUCUCUUGGCUCUC
rnacentral:misc_RNA from 1 species